UGGGGAGAAAAAACAAAAUUAAAAAAAGUCACACUGCACUUUGAAGUCUUGAACAUUAACAUGGCACUUUAAGCAAAACACGAA